UACGUAGGGUGCGAGCGUUAAUCGGAAUUACUGGGCGUAAAGGGUGCGCAGGCGGCGUCGCAAGUCAGGCGUGAAAUCCCCGGGCUUAACCUGGGAACUGCAGUCGAGACUGUCUAGCUAGAGUAUGGGAGAGGGAAGUGGAAUUUCAGGUGUAGCGGUGAAAUGCGUAGAUAUCUGAAGGAACAUCAGUGGCGAAAGCGACUCCUGGACCAAUACUGACGCUCAUGUGCGAAAGCGUGGGGAGCAAACAGG
rnacentral:rRNA from 1 species